GUCUAAGUUGGUUUUGAUAUUGAUAUUCUCUGCUGCAGUCAACCCAAAUAGGAAAUCAAAUCAACAUAACAACAAUGGGAGAAGUUACAUGUUUCCUUUUUCAAAUACUAGCACUUCAGAGGCUUAACAACAACUAUGCUCUCGACUUUGUAGUUGAUAGAUACACAUGCAACAUUUGUUAAUGCAAAUACCAUUCAACUACCUGUGUCUAUGAUCAUACUUGAUACUACAGAGAAAUUAUUUCUUUUGGAUAGGCAAUAAUGGUUGUUAUGACUGCCAUUAAGAGUAUAUUGUUGUCACUGCUAUUUUUGUUUGUUUGUUAUUUUCAUGCAAUUCAGGUGGAAAUGGAACUUACCAAAUAGUUUGGUUAGAAACAAAUUAAGUAUGUGAGAGUAUGUACCAUCAAUAUAGUCGCCAAUGUGGCUUUCAAUUUUUCUUCUUCUCUGUUUUCAAGGUCUUGCGAGAUGUGGAAAGAGUUGCAGACUAAGGUGGCUUAAUUACCUAAGGCCAAACCUCAAAAGAGGAAACUACACCAAGGAAGAGGAGGAAACUAUUAUCAAGUUACACAAGCUUGAAAAGAGUUAUGAAAUUGUAAAUCCUAUUUUUUAAUUUUAAGGGAGUUUAGUGGAAAUUAAAUAAGAGGGACAGAGGGAAAUAAAAAAAGUGAUAAAUGUAAUAAACAAUGUGAUACAGUUUAUUUCAGGCAAUAGGUAAUGUAUCAAUUAUGAAAUAAAAUAAUAUAGAAUUGUAUGUUUUGCA